rnacentral:tRNA from 1 species
CUUUAGCAUAGUAGGCAGUGCAUCAGUCUUGUAAACUGAGGGUCUUGAGUUCAAUUCUAGAAAG